GGAGGAUGCGAGCGUUAUCCGGAUUUAUUGGGUUUAAAGGGUGCGUAGGCGGCGCGUUAAGUUAGUGGUCAAAUGUCGGGGCUCCACCCCGGACCGCCAUUAAAACUGGCGCGCUCGAGUCCAGACGAGGCAGGCGGAAUAAGUUAAGUAGCGGUGAAAUGCUUAGAUAUAACUUAGAACCCCGAUAGCGAAGGCAGCUUGCCAGACUGGGACUGACGCUGAAGCACGAGAGCGUGGGUAUCGAA
rnacentral:rRNA from 1 species